rnacentral:snRNA from 1 species
GUGCUCGCUUCGGCAGCACAUAUACUAAAAUUGGAACGAUACAGAGGAGCUUAGCAUGGCCCCUGUGCAAGGAUGACAUGCAAAUUUGUGAAGCAUUCCAAAAAAAU